rnacentral:rRNA from 1 species
ACUCAAAUGAAUAGACGGGGGCUCACACAAGCGGUGGAGUAUGUGGAUUAAUUCGAAGCAACGCGAAGCACCUCACCUGGGUUUGACAUGUACGGAUGCUCUUCUGGAAACAGGAGUAGGCUGCCUUCGGGUGAAACGUGCACAGGUGCUGCAUGGCUGUCGUCAGCUCGUGCUGUGAAGUGUCGGGUUAAGUCCCUCAACGAGCGAAACCCCUAUCGUUAGUUACCAGCGGGUCAUGCCGGGGACUCUAGCGAGACCGCCGGCGUCAAGCCGGAGGAAGGCGGGGACGACGUCAAGUCAUCAUGGCCCUUAUGCCCAGGGUGUCACACGUACUACAAUGGUCUGGACAGAGCGACGCGAUACCGCGAGGUGGAGCAAAUCGCAGAAACCAGGCCUCAGUUCAGAUUGCAGUCUGCAACCCGACUGCAUGAAGCUGGAAUCGCUAGUAAUCGCGCAUCAGCCAUGGCGCGGUGAAUGUGUUCCUGAGCCUUGUACACACCGCCCGU